rnacentral:pre_miRNA from 1 species
AUAAUACUCCCUCCGUCCGGAAAUACUUGUCAUAGAAAUGACUAAAAAUGGAUGUAUCUAACACUAAAAUACAUCUAGAUACGUCCACUCCUUCGACAAGUAUUUCCGGAUGGAGGGAGUAUAAA